rnacentral:lncRNA from 1 species
AAUGUUCCUGCUAGCGCAACCCAGUUGGCUAAAGCAGUCAAUCUUUUUCUCAGCAAUGUUAAUCUGUCCCAGAAGACCACGUCUACUUCACUAAUUUGUGUGGUUUUAUAUUCUUUCAGGUGCUUUGAUCCCUCACCCGUGUCCUGAUGGCACAUUUACUCCCCUGGAUGUGUCUGGUCUGCGUGAGGAACGAGAAUGUUUACCUUGUCCCCCAGGUCACUACUGCAGAGGAGGACGGAUUGAAGGAAGGUGUGCUUCUGGAUUCUUCUGCCAAGAAGGAAGUUCUGAUGCUACUCCACAAGGGCAUAACUUCACGUGGAAACUUCUAGCUGAUUGUCCUUGGGGUCAGGAGUGUGCCGGGCCCUGCCCAGCAGGCUUUUACUGCCCUGAAGGCACAGAGACCCCCAUCCCUUGUCCAGAUGACACCAUUGGUUCUGAGCCAGGCGCAAGGCAACAGGAAGACUGCCUGCCAUGUCCAGCCGGUCGCUGGUGUAAAACAGGAAAAGCAGUGGCCUAUCCAUGCCCCU